UACGGGGGAGGCAAGCGUUGUUCGGAUUUACUGGGCGUAAAGGGCGCGUAGGCGGCCACCGCAAGUCGACUGUGAAAUCUCCGGGCUUAACCCGGAAAGGUCAGCCGAUACUGCGGGGCUAGAGUGCAGAAGGGGCAACUGGAAUUCUCGGUGUAGCGGUGAAAUGCGUAGAUAUCGAGAGGAACACCUGCGGCGAAGGCGGGUUGCUGGGCUGACACUGACGCUGAGGCGCGAAAGCGUGGGGAGCGAUCCGG
rnacentral:rRNA from 1 species